GACGAACGCUGGCGGCGUGCUUAACACAUGCAAGUCGAACGGAAAGGCCCUGCUUUUGUGGGGUGCUCGAGUGGCGAACGGGUGAGUAACACGUGAGUAACCUGCCCUUGACUUUGGGAUAACUUCAGGAAACUGGGGCUAAUACCGGAUAGGAGCUCCUGCUGCAUGGUGGGGGUUGGAAAGUUUCGGCGGUUGGGGAUGGACUCGCGGCUUAUCAGCUUGUUGGUGGGGUAGUGGCUUACCAAGGCUUUGACGGGUAGCCGGCCUGAGAGGGUGACCGGCCACAUUGGGACUGAGAUACGGCCCAGACUCCCACGGGAGGCAGCAGUGGGGAAUAGUGCACAAUGGGCGGAAGCCUGAUGCAGCAACGCCGCGUGCGGGAUGACGGCCUUCGGGUUGUAAACCGCUUUCGCCUGUGACGAAGCGUGAGUGACGGUAAUGGGUAAAGAAGCACCGGCUAACUACGUG
rnacentral:rRNA from 1 species